UCUCCCCUUCUCUCUGUCUUUCUCUCUCCCUCUCUCUCUCUCAGUACCUCUAAAACAAUCUGUUCCCAAAGGUAGUAUACGGUCUGUCUCAGAAUACAACUGCCAUUUGGGUGCCAUUUGGGACAAUACCCUAGAUAUAAAGGCAGGCAGAUGAUGAACCUGUACUGUUAGUGGAGGUUACUGGGACUGUAGUGGAGAUAACUGGGACUGUAGUGGAGGUUAAUGGGACUGUACUGUUCGUGGAGGUUACUGGGACUGUAGUGGAGGUUACUGGGACUGUAGUGGAGAUUACUGGGACUGUAGUGGAGGUUACUGGGACUGUACUGUUAGUGGAGGUUACUGGGACUGUACUGUUAGUGGGGAUUUAUUUUUUAUUUUUUUAUUUUACCUUUAUUUAACCAGGCAAGUCAGUUAAGAACAAAUUCUUAUUUUCAAUGACGGCCUAGGAACAGUGGGUUAACUGCCUGUUCAGGGGCAGAACGACAGAUUUGUACCUUGUCAGCUCGGGGUUUGAACUCGCAACCUUCCGGUUACUAGUCCAAUGCUCUAACCACUAGGCUACCCUGCCGCCCCCAGAUAAAUGGGACUGUAGUGGAGGUUACUGGGACUGUACUGUUAGUGGAGGUUACUGGGACUGUAGUGGAGGCUACUGGGACUGUAGUGGAGAUUACUGGGACUGUAGUGGAUGUUACUGGGACUGUAGUGGAGAUUACUGGGACUGUAGUAAUUUCAGCUCUGUAGUGCAGCGCUAGUGGAAAGUCAGGUGGAAUUGUAUUUAUUUUUUAUUUUACUCGCAAGGCAGUUAAGGACAAAUUCUUAUUUUCAAUGACGGCCUAGGAACAGUGGGGUUUAACUGCCUUGUUCAGGGGCAGAACGACAGAUUUUUACCUUGUCAGCUCGGGGGAUUCGAUCUUGCAACCUUUUGGUUAUUAGUCCUACACUCUAACCACUAGUCUACCUGCCGCCCCUACACUCUAACCACUAGGCUACCUGCCGCCCCAAUGAAAUCCAGUAGGAAAGGUCUAACCUCAGUAAACUAACUGAAGACUGAAUAGUUUCUGUAAAUGUGUUAUCUAGCUAUAGCAGCUGGCCUUGUCCUCUCCUCACACGGUCCUUUAAUCUAAAGAGACAACAGCCACACAGCAUGUUGAUUACUUACACCAGAUGUUGCAGGAAUACCCCCCCCUCCCCCCCUGUUGAGAGAUAUUACAGUUCAAUUGAACUGAAUUGAGUGUAGUCCAUCAGAAAUCCAACCUGGCCAC
ensembl:lncRNA